UUUUCCACUCUGUACUGCCAACUUUCUCCAAGAUUGAUGUCACCUGCACCUAAUGACAAUGAGAGUACAUCUAGCUACAAGCAGUUCUCUGUAUAACCUGCUGAUCAGUGUUUUUCCUGUGGUAUGACAGGCUAAGCUCUCCUGUUGGUCUUACCGAGAUGAAACACUGGAUUCAUAAGAUCAAUGCAUGACACGAUCUCAGCUUCCUUCAUCCCCUCUGUGUUUGUUAUGUCAAGCCCACCACUGCUGUCCUGGUCCAACCAGAGCUGGUUGUCAGGUGUUGCCCAUGCAAGCCUCUCUAGAGCUGCACAAGACAGAGGGACUUUCAUCAUGCAGCUAAGGAGACCAUUGCUCGCCAGUGAGUUCCGCCAAUCUGGGUUCACAUUUUGUAUCAACAAGAUUUGUAUACUUUAUUGAUCAAAUUACAGUUCAUUGGCUUUAUUGUCAUAUGCACCUGUAACUGCAUCAGUGUUCGCAGUCACUCACCCUGGAGCAGUAAAGCUUUGCCACAGGAAUACUUGAGAAGGACUAAGGGCUGCCAUUCAAGACCAUCUGGUACUAAACAGUAUUUCUCUAAACCCAUGGUUACCCAGGUAUCAAUCAAGGCUGUUUUCUAUCUAGACCUCUGCUGUAAGUGGCCACUCAAUUUGUCCAUAAGCCAAAUAUACAGUAUUCCUAGCAGAGCUCAUAAUGAGUGUACGUGAAUGACCUUUCAAAAGCUCUCUGACUCCUUCAAAACCCAAGCAGAAAGUCUGUAUUUGCGAGAUCAGAAAUAAAAUGAAAACCUCACUUUGGCUGAAUAAAAAAGCCAUAUACAGGAAAGCCCUUGAUGAAUAGCAUGCUUUUAACAAAAAUACCAUUUCCUUUGCCACAAAAAAUGUUGUUUUAGAUUCUGAAAUUAAGUGCUUGUUCCACUGGGCUGUAACAUUUUGUUAAGCUGCAGAGACGUUAGAGGAACAGCUUUUCCGUUUCUUACAGACUUCAGCUAUUUACAAUUCUCUUUUAAUAUUUCUUUUUCUGGAGGAGAGAAACACAUUCUAGGAUUUUCUCUAAGCCUUUUUUGGUUCAUUAUGGAGGUCUGACUUUCUGCAUCCACUAAAGCAACCACAGAUGAUCUACUUUUGCGGCCUUAGGGAAACCUGAACCUGGAGCCGGCUUUUAGAAUUCACCGACAGGCCCAGGUCCUUGGCUGCCGUGGCGGAGGCUCUGCUCCUCUCAGAAAGCUUGGAGAAUUUAUGGAGGACUUAAGUAGCAGCUACAAAUCACCGUUCUGUUUCAGCUCAAGAGUGAACUGCAUUUAAGGGAGAAUUGUUGUAACAAGAAGAAAACUUCCCAGCUCAAGUGUUUCCAAGCUAUUCAUCGUUCUCCUAGUAUCUGUCCCCCUGGAAAUUCUCCAAGUCCUCAUGAUACUGCUCUUGUAAACAAUUAUUUUCUUUCCUGAACUCCUGUAAUAAAAUUCAUACUGGA